rnacentral:rRNA from 1 species
AGAGUUUGAUCCUGGCUCAGGAUGAACGCUGGCGGUCUGCUUAACACAUGCAAGUCGAACGAAUCCCUUCGGGGAUUAGUGGCGGACGGGUGAGUAACGCGUGAGAAUCUACCAAAAGGACUGGGACAACCACUGGAAACGGUGGCUAAUACCGGAUGAGCCGCAACGUAAAAGAGGAAACUCGCCUUUUGAAGAGCUCGCGUCUGAUUAGCUAGUUGGUGAGGUAAAGGCUCACCAAGGCGGCGAUCAGUAGCUGGUCUGAGAGGAUGAUCAGCCACACUGGGACUGAGACACGGCCCAGACUCCUACGGGAGGCAGCAGUGGGGAAUUUUCCGCAAUGGGCGAAAGCCUGACGGAGCAAGACCGCGUGAGGGAGGAAGGCUCUUGGGUUGUAAACCUCUUUUGUCAGGGAAGAACACAAUGACGGUACCUGAAGAAUCAGCAUCGGCUAACUCCGUGCCAGCAGCCGCGGUAAUACGGGGGAUGCAAGCGUUAUCCGGAAUUAUUGGGCGUAAAGCGUCCGCAGGUGGCUAAUCAAGUCUGCUGUCAAAGGUUGGGGCUUAACCCCAAAAAGGCAGUGGAAACUGAGAAGCUAGAGUGCAGUAGGGGUAGAGGGAAUUCCCGGUGUAGCGGUGAAAUGCGCAGAUAUCAGGAGGAACACCGAUGGCGAAGGCAGGUCUCUGGGCUGUAACUGACGCUGAGGAGCGAAAGCAUGGGGAGCGAACAGGAUUAGAUACCCCCGUAGUCC